CGGCAUAAAUGGUUGGGAAUAAAGCAGAUAGAUUGUCCACAUUCGAUACGAGUAUAAUAAUAAUUUUUUUUUGAGUCCGGAUCCUCUAUUAUUUGGUAAAUAGGGAUUCCCUGAUUGCCUAAUCCUCUUGCUUUUGGAUGGCCUUUUUUGCCCGUAAAUCAUUUUACAGACUGUAAAUGAUUUAUAGUAUUUACAGGCAAAAAGUUUGGAUUUCAUGCAGACUAAAUCCAUCAAAUUGAAAUUUUUUUUUCAAGAGGCAUGCAUUUACUAUGUCAAUUUAUACCCAUGAUAGCCCCAGAGAUGGGUCAUUAAACAGAGUUGAGAAGGUACAUUAAAACAUGGUAUGGACUGUUUGCCAUCUUGGGCAUCCCCACUGUAGGGGAGACUUGGAGGCUCAAGACCCACCAAUAUACUGGUUUUUGAUUGCUGGAUGAUGCAAUACACUUGUCUCACUCAUCCGUUACAUAAUGUUUCCCUCUUAUUUGUCAGAUUAAGGUUAGGAUGAGGCAUAUUCCACAUCCUCCUAUUUAUUCUUCUCUUUCCUUCUUAUCAUGAGUUUUCUUAGUCCUAUGAAAAAUGUUAGAAUUGUUGGUUAUUUAUUAUUUAAUGGUAAGCCAAAUAUUAAUAAUUCAGUACCAUAAUAGGUUGUCAUGGUUGUAGAUGCUUCUCUCAUCUCUACUUUUACCAUCAAUUGAAAUGGGAAAAAAAAACCUUAGAAGCAUAACUGAGUAUUUUCAUAUUCCUUCUUUCUCAUCUUAAUCUUUGUAGCAGAGAGGAAGAAAAACCAUAAAGCUUUUGUGGGUUUUGCCUCUUGUUGGGCUGUUGAUGAUGAGAUGGGCUUAAAGUUUUCAAGAGUUGAAUGUGACUGAGAUUUCAUAUGUGGAAGCUUAUGGUGUUUCCAUCAGGCCUUUGAUGGUGGGCCCCACUCAUCUUCAAGGAGCUGUUGCAAAAGGAGCUGGUAUAGUGCAUUUCGAUAUUUAGAUUUUAUUAGCAAUAGUAUUUUGGUGAACUUUUUUUUUCUUUUUCCAUCCCAUUGAUUGUUGAUACUGGUGUUUUUUUUUUUUUGGUGUGUGAUAUUUGCUAAUGGCAUUGAUUUUACAUAGUCAUGAAGUGAUUGUUUUAAUCCAUUUUUUAGGACCAUUUGAUUUAAAAAUUUCUCCCUCAUCCAUCUUUGCUUGUCUAGGUGAAAUUGAAGUUAGUACAUUAGAAUUUAGUCUGCAUGCAUGCAGAUUUAGUCUCUUUUUCAACACAAAAUGGUUUUCAUGUUGAAGAUCCAACCAUAAUGGGCACUCUAAAGUUCAGCAGAUCCAACCAUAAUGUGGGCCACAUGUACAAUUCACUGUUAAAAAAAAUAAAAUGGAUGGUUAUGCAUGCAGUGACCCACCCAAUGGAUGGGGCCAAUGAAAGGGCCUCCUCUUAAGGGAUCAAUUUUUGUGCAGCUUCCAUCCACUUCUGCUAGCCCACUUAUGCAACAACAAAAAGAUUAAAAUUGUAGUAAUUGCCUAUUUUUUGUUGAUCUUAUAAACCAUAGAGUUGUUCGUGAUUCAUGAUUCUGCUAGUGUUUUGGUUAUUAACUCUUUAAUGAUACUGUUCUGCCAGCUCUUGCUGACAAGAAUGUUCUGCCAUUUAUCCAUCACACAGAUGCCAUGUAACUCUUACCAUUUUUUUCUUUAAAUUAUUAUUGUGGUGGUCCUGUUAAAUAUAUGAAGUUUUCAAUUGUUUUCACCACUCAUGUCAAGGAGAUUUUAUGAUUGCUUCUUAUUAAAGUUGCUUAUUUAUUGAUACUGUUCUAUACUUUUUCUUUUUCCUGCGAUAGGUGGGGACGCAUCAAUGACUUCACCAUUGUUGUCAUUGAGUGAUGAGCCCCAACCAGAAGGGAAUUUGCUGUCUAUACUCAAAGCCCCGGGUUCUAUAGGCGAGUGUCUAGAAGUGUCCUUAAAGAAUGUUUGCAAAGAGGAAACUAGAUGAGUUUGUUUUCCUCGGGAAUCAACUACAGGUUUCAUAUGCUCCUCAGUUCGAGUCUCUUUCUAAUAUGAAGGAGAAAUUGGAAGGCAAGAGAAAAGAAGUUCUAAGCCCACUAAACUUGGGAAGAUCCAAAGGAUCAGAGCCUUCCAAACAAAUCAAGAGUACAUUUGUGGAAUCAGUGCAUGGAAUUUUAAUCUGGAGGAUUUGAAAGCUCAAGCUGCCAAAAUUCAGGAUGAUGAUGGAAUUUCCAUAGUAGAAGAUUCAGAUAUGAAUUGCAGGUCAAAGGAUGGAAAUGAUAUUGUGGAUUUUGCACCAAAGGUGCAGUCUCGUGAAAGAGCUAACCAUGCUGAAUCUGUGCUUGAACAGGAGGUUUCAAGAACUCUUAGUUUCUCUAUAAAAUAAGAAGGUAAGUAAUUCAGUGGUGAGGAUCCAUGUGAUUUCUUGCUUUACUUGUUCUUGGAUGCUUGAAUAUGACUAGAAUCUCUUAUGGAAGAGCAUAACUGCUUUAUCUUUCAUUAUAUUUGAUUCUUGUAUUGUUAGUUCAUCGAUAAGACCUCUUGAAAAGGUAACACUAUUCCACUUCCCUUUUAAGAGGCAAUCUGUUUACAAGUAAACAGAUUGUGCAUUUGGCUAGCUUGUAAAGUGUUUACAAUGGAUAAAGAAUUUUAUACAGUUGGGAAUAACUUGGAUGAUUUGAUUCAUGAAAGUUGUUGUGCAUGUUUCUUUUAUUGUUGAAUUCGAAAUUUUUAGAUGAGUUGAUCUAUCAGGGCAUGCACUAGCAAUGGUAAGCCAUUUAUUUAUUUAUU